AGAACAGAGCUAGACAGUUCCCAGAAGCUGCAGUUCUCAGAAAGCCCUGAAGGCAGGAGAUGGCAGCAAGCAGGAGACUCUAUGCAAGCCUGGGAC